rnacentral:rRNA from 1 species
GACGAACGCUGGCGGAGGGAGGAACACAGGCAAGUCGAACGGGUCUGCCCUGUUUUUUGCGGGGUGGGUCAGUGGCGAACGGGUGAGUAACACGUGAGUAACCUGCCCCUCACUUCUGGAUAACCGCUUGAAAGGGUGGCUAAUACGGGGUGUUCUGGCUGUGCCGCAUGGUGUGGCUGGGAAAGAUUCACUUUUGUGGUGUUUUGGUGGGGGAUGGGCUCGCGGCCUAUCAGCUUGUUGGUGGGGUGAUGGCCUGCCAAGGCUUUGACGGGUAGCCGGCCUGAGAGGGUUGGCGGUCACACUGGGACUGAGAUACGGCCCAGACUCCGGCGGGAGGCAGCAGGGGGGGGUAUUGCACAAUGGGCGGAAGCCUGAUGCAGCGACGUCGCGUGAGGGAUGGAGGCCUUCGGGUUGUGACCUUCUUUCGCCGGUGAAGAAGGUCCUGCUCUUUGUGGUGGGGUUGACGGUAGCCGGGUUAUGAAGCGCCGGCUAACUACGUG